CCCUUAGAUGUCCUGGGCCGCACGCGCGCUACAAUGACUCACUCAGAAAGUUUUUCCUGAUCCGGAAGGAUUCGGGUAAUCUUCAUAGCAUGAGUCGUGUUAGGGAUCGAUCUUUGCAAUUAUAGAUCUUGAACGAGGAGUGCCUAGUAAGUGCAGCUCAUCAGGCUGUACUGAUUACGUCCCUGCCCUUUGUACACACCGCCCGUCGCUCCUACCGAUUGAGUGGUCCGGUGAACCUUCUGGAUUAAGCAGCAAUGCUUGAGAAGUUAGGUAAACCUUAUCACUUAGAGGAAGGAGAAGUCGUAACA
rnacentral:rRNA from 1 species